CCUUGGCAACUAUAUUUAUUUAGCAUUUUUGGAAACAUCUCAUACACAAACAUUAAGGAGUUUUAUCUUUCCUGGUUUACUUCCCUCUCAUGCUAUUUCUAAAUACUGAUCAUUACUACACUCAAAUGGCCCAAAUGAUGAGGCUGUAACAAUAUAUGUGGCUAUGAGAGAACUACUCCUUUCACAAAUUCACAUCUUCAUAUUCUCUUAGCUUGUUGGUAAGUUCUGGUG
rnacentral:lncRNA from 1 species